rnacentral:lncRNA from 1 species
CAAUUAUCCUUCAAUUAAAAAUAGAUAAAUUUAAAAUGCAAAGAAACCUAAAUUCUAAACAUAGAGAUUAAAAUACUAAUAUUUUUAAAGAAAAAAAGAGAAAGAAAUAGGAUGCCUGACUGGAGUACAGAACUGGGAUGCGUGAGGGGUGGCUGACUUCAGGCAUGGCUGGAUCCAGGAUGUUGGACAAGGCUACUGGAACCACCCCACUCUCCCUCCCUGCUCUGUUUUCCUUGUGAGGCAUUAUUCUCAGGUAGACUGUUUCUCCAGCUGAACAAAGAUGGCCAUUAUAACGCCAGGCAUAAAAUAACUUUUUUCAAUAAAAUUCUAACCCCCCUACAGGACUCAGGUUGGUGGCCUGGAUCAUGUGACCAUCGCUGUCUACUCAGGGUCUCAGAGGCUGGGUGACGCUGAUUGGCUGACCUGGGUCAUGUGACCAUUCCUAGCUAGUCAGGGUCUCAGAGGUUGGGUGAUGCAGAUUGGCUGGCCUAGGUCAUGUGACCAUCCCUAGCUAGUCAGGGUCUCAGGGGCUGGGUGAUGCUGAUUGGUUGGCCUGGGUCAUGUGCCCAUCCCUAGCUAGUCAGGGUCUCAGAGGCUGGGUGAUGCUGAUUGGCUGGGCUGGGUCAUGUGUGCAGUGUCACACUUACACUCCCAUCAGAAUCACUGGACUGGGGAGAGGAUCAUUUUCAGAGGAAAUCUGGGGAACAAAGGGUGGUCCUGCAGACCCCACACAUGCCUCCUACAUGUGAUCAUUCCAGGGGUGGCCAGUGAGGGCUCCCAUGUAGAAGUAUUUACAAGGGUAAAAGCCUGCUCAGAGGCCUUGGGGCUCCACCUGCCAGCCUCUUCCUUUGGAGCAAAACACUGUGGCUGCCAGGACCUGCGUCUCAGAAAACCCCAGGAAACUUCAAAGGGGCCUGUCCACCUCACUGGCUUUGAUCUCAGAAGGGGACUUGCUAAGAAGCAUGAUCAAAAGGAAAAUGGACGGUUCCAGAAAUGAGCAACAAAACAUGCUCCUGUCUUGCUCACCUGGACGUCGUAAGGACGAGAAGUGGAGGCUGUCAUGGAGCCAGGCUGGGGUCUUUGGAUACAAGAAUACUAUGAGGAUGGUGCUGACCCUAGGGCAUCAGGACCACAGGUGCCGUGUGUCUUUGCAAGCUGCUGCCCCUCUCUGGGCCCCAGUUUGAGCUUUUAUAAUAAUAACUGCCCUCACUCUCUCCUACUGCACAGUCACAUCACAUGCCAUGGCAUUCUGGGCCAGAUGGUCUUGGCAGAUCCUUUCCAGAUCAAUAUUUUAUGGAUCUAAGUUCCAGGAGCAAGAUGAUCAGUCAGAUGAGACAGAAUUCACACUUUAAAAUCAUUUCUAAAAGCCAGCUGUCCAGAUUCCAGAUUCUGGUAUGCGAGCAAAGAAAAGGAUGCUUCUUGAACAGGGAAAAAAACAGGCAUGAGCCCCAGUGAGGAUGGCAGGUGGGUUGCUGGGUCUUGAGUGACCUCAGCAGGCUUUCCUGGUGGCUUAGACGGUAAAGAAUCUGCCUGCAGUAUGGGAGACUUGGGUUUGAUCCGUGGGUUGGGAAGAUUCCCCUGGAGGAGAGCAUGGCUACCCACUCCAGUAUUCUUGCCUGGACUCCAUGGACAGAGGAACCUGGUGGGCUAUGGUCUAUGAGCUCGCAAAGUGUCAGACACGACUGAGUGACUUUCACUUUCACUUUGGCGAGUGGUUACCAGGUGGGAAGAGAGAAGGGGCAGCAAACACAGUUCCUUCCUUUAAGGCUCCUGACCUUGAGGACUGAGGGAGGGGCGAAGACAUUCGUGGGGAAUGCAGGUUGGGGGGCAGCACUGAGAACGGCACCCCUGGGGCAGUGGAAACGCCAAGGGCCGGGGAGCCAGGGAGAGACUGGGGUGAGGGCAUGGGAUGAGGCUGUGACUGAUGGUGGGGGUGGCCUUGUCGGGGAG